rnacentral:rRNA from 1 species
UAAAACCCCUCUCAGUUCGGACUGGAGUCUGCAACCCGACUCCACGAAGCUGGAUUCGCUAGUAAUCGCGCAUCAGCCACGGCGCGGUGAAUACGUUCCCGGGCCUUGUACACACCGCCCGUCAAGCCAUGGGAGCCGGGGGGUACCUGAAGUGCGUAACCGCGAGGAUCGCCCUAGGGUAAAACUGGUGACUGGGGCUAAGUCGUAACAAGGUAAC